GAUGAAGAACGUAGCGAAAUGCGACAAGUAAUGUGAAUUGCAGAAUUCAGUGAAUCAUCGAAUCUUUGAACGCACAUUGCGCCCGCCAGUAUUCUGGCGGGCAUGCCUGUUCGAGCGUCAUUUCAACCAUCAAGCCCCCGGGCUUGUGUUGGGGACCUGCGGCUGCCGCAGGCCCUGAAAAGCAGUGGCGGGCUCGCUGUCACACCGAGCGUAGUAGAUUUUAUCUCGCUCUGGGCGUGCUGCGGGUUCCGGCCGUUAAACCACCCUUUUAACCCAAGGUUGACCUCGGAUCAGGUAGGAAGACCCGCUGAACUUAAGCAUAUCAAUAAGCGGAGGA
rnacentral:misc_RNA from 1 species